UACGGAGGAUGCAAGCGUUAUCCGGAAUGAUUGGGCGUAAAGCGUCCGCAGGUGGCGAUGUAAGUCUGCUGUUAAAGAGUGAGGCUCAACCUCAUAAGAGCAGUGGAAACUACAUAGCUAGAGUACGUUCGGGGCAGAGGGAAUUCCUGGUGUAGCGGUGAAAUGCGUAGAGAUCAGGAAGAACACCAGUGGCGAAGGCGCUCUGCUAGGCCGUAACUGACACUGAGGGACGAAAGCUUGGGGAGCGAAUGGG
rnacentral:rRNA from 1 species